rnacentral:lncRNA from 1 species
UGAACAUACACAAGCAAAUAGCUGUCUAAAUCUAUAGUAAUACAUACACAACCAGAGCAAGAUAACAACAACUGAACGAACAAGUACUGGGAGGACGACCUGUACUGGGCAUGGACUUCUACUGGCCCCAAAAUUCCCAGACACCUACUGAAAACACUGCUCUGCAGUUCUAAGGCCUUGUUUAGUUGGCCAAUUUGGGAGAUGCAAAAUUACUGUGCUAGCACUGUAGCACACUGUAGCGUUUCGUUUGUAUUUAUGAAUUAUUGUCCAAAUAUUGACUAAUUAGGCUCAAAAGAUUCGUCUCGCAAAGUACAACAAAACUGUGCAAUUAGUUUUUAAUUUCGUCUACAUUUAGUACUCCAUGCAUGUACCGCAAGUUUGAUGUGAUGGGGAAUCUUCUUUUUGCAUAGUGUCAAAGUUGGGAGUUGGGGGUAACUAAACAUGGCCUAGGCCUUGUUUACUUCCAAGUUGUUGGGAGUUGCAAAAUUGGCAUUUUGCCAUAAAUGCGACACUGUAGCAUUUCGUUUGUAUUUGUGAAUUAUUGUUCAAAUAUUGACUAAUUAGGCUCAAAAGAUUCGUCUCGUAAAGUACAACAAAACUGUGCAAUUAGUUUUUGAUUUCGUCUACAUUUCGUACUCAUGCAUGUAUCGCAAGUUUGAUGUGAUGGGGAAUCUUCUUUUUGCAUAGUAUCAAAGUCGGGAGUUUGGAGUGAAGUAAACAAGGGCCUAAAUGAAUUGUUAUCACUGCCAAAGAAAUCAACUUAUCUCGAACCAGAGAAAGUACAGGACAUGAUCGUUACUGUCAUUAGAGUACUCAUUUGGUUAACAUAGCUUUCUCAAAUUAAACAAUCAUAGACAUGUAUGUUAGUAGCUGCACACGCACACAACACACAAACAUACAGUACGCAAUUGGUUAGCAAUAGCUUGCGCAAAUUAAACAAUAAUAGCCAUGUUAAAUUGAACGAGCAGGAGCAAAAAGUGAAGAAUCCCGUGCAGUCAAAUAGUC